rnacentral:rRNA from 1 species
GAUGAACGCUAGCGGCAGGCCUAAUACAUGCAAGCCGAACGGCAAGAUUUUCAGCAAUGGAAAUCCUAGAGUGGCGUAAGGGUGCGUAACACGUAUGCAAUCUGCCCUCAACAGGAGGAUAGCUCCCCGAAAGGGGAAUUAAGACUCCAUAAGAUCUUAGAGUGGCAUCACUUAGAGAUUAAACUACCAGGGGUUGAGGAUGAGCAUGCGCAUGAUUAGUUAGUUGGCGGGGUAACGGCCCACCAAGACGAUGAUCAUUAGGGGAACUGAGAGG